GACGUAGGGCGCGAGCGUUGUCCGGAUUUAUUGGGCGUAAAGAGCUCGUAGGCGGUUUGUCGCGUCGUCCGUGAAAACUCACAGCUUAACUGUGAGCUUGCGGUCGAUACGGGCAGGCUAGAGUUCGGUAGGGGAGACUGGAAUUCCUGGUGUAGCGGUGAAAUGCGCAGAUAUCAGGAGGAACACCGGUGGCGAAGGCGGGUCUCUGGGCCGAUACUGACGCUGAGGAGCGAAAGCGUGGGGAGCAAACAGG
rnacentral:rRNA from 1 species